AUGAAAUGCGGUAGAAUUUGCGACAUUUGUCUUGGAACCGUGCUCUGAAACAUUCAGAGAAUUAUGGAAAGCUGGGAAUUUCCCCUCUCCGAACAGUGUUGAUUCCUCAGUGACCAUAAAUGACUUUGAAAGGAAGAGUAAUCCUCACCAACUAGGACAGGGAAAUCUCCAAUGGACACUUUGCACAGUGAAGAUUAGGAAUGGCUGGCACGGUUGGCUGCAGUGAAAUAAGACAGAGCUGCACAAGCUGCACAGGAAACAAAAGUCUGUAUUUCUGGAGACACCGUGGAAACUGGUCAGAGAGCUUUAACUCAUGUCUCGAUCAUGGACAAAAAUAGAGCACAGAAAGUGCUUCUUAGGGAAGACUUCAUUUUCCCGAUCUUUCACAACUGAAAAAUGG